UUUUUUUUUCUACUCCAAAUUUUGACGUUAAGGUACUUUUUAAGGCCUUUUCGUGAUCUUUGCUAUAUUACGGAGCGAAAAUUAUAUGUUUGGACAUUGUUUUCGAAUAUUUUGCAUGUAUCAAAGCUCUCAUAAACAAGAUAGGGUAUUCCUACAUAGCUGGUGGGACCCACGACAAAUGGAUAGUAAAGUCUUCAUAAAAGAAUAGAUACUAUUGCAUUGCAUGUAGUAACGGAUGCGAUCAUAUCAGCACUAACGCACCGGAUCU
rnacentral:sRNA from 1 species